GUCUUUCUGGCAGGAACCAUUCCGGUCUACUUUGCUUCGCUUUGGAACUUUUGCCCAGCUUGGGUACUUUGAAAACAUCCUGGUGGUUGUGGAUAUCAUCUGGGCACCAGUGAAUACCAGGCAAAGCAGGAGAUGAGGGAGUUGAGUGGUUCCUCCAAAUAUCUUGUUUGGGGAAGUCAUGACUAGAUAAAGGUUUAGUUUAGGGAGGAAGGUAGUACUAGAUUAUGUCUCUUGUCCCUCUUCUGUGCUAACACCUUAAGGGACAGCUGUCAUGGUGCUUUGCACCCAGGAGAGCUGCUAAGGUAGCAGCUGGACAAGUGGACCAGGGAUGGUUGUCCGUGGUACCAUAUUGCUUUGACCUGCGCUCGCUGCCUCUCCCCCUUCUCCCUUUCCUCUUGGAUCAUUUUCUCUUCCUCAGACACAUUUGGCACCCCAGGUGUCCAUGCCCUCUUCCUCUUCUUCCAGGCUGGGAUGCUAGCUUCUAAUACCCACUGGUACCAUAUGGGUCUCCCCUCUUACUUCAUGGCUCUUCCACGAGCAGACCUGUGCGGUGGGGGUUUGGCUGUAAGGGUUGUGAUUUUCAUUAGCUAAUCUAGUAACCUACAGGUGUCUUGGUCAAAUGCUACCAAUGAUAUGGGCCAUAGGUGAGAGCUUUUCUAGAAUUUGAAAUGGUCGAAAUAAAUGGUAACGUGGACUCAGGGACACUCUGAGUGUUUCAGUGUAUCUUUCUGUUAUUUUUCUCUGGCCUCAGAAAUAUUUAAAAUCCUGAUGGGAAUUGCAUCAUAACUGAAAUCGGGUUUAAGAAUACCAGCUCAAGCUUCGUUGGUGCUUGCCAAACUCAGUCCGUUGCUUUAGUUUGAUGACAGCUAUUUAGAGCCACUUGAACUUUGGCCUCAGAUAUUUACUCCCAUCAGGACUUAUAAAAAGGCUCACAACUAGCAAAAUAAACCUAGACUGGACAAUCUGGUCAUUUUUCACCCAGCCCCCAAAACGCCCAGGCCACAUUUCCUUCCCAGAAAGGGAGGCUUUUGCGGGUAACUGUGGUGCUAAUGAGCGCCAUCUACAGUCCAGUGCGCCGCACUACAGUUUAUGUGUGGCCCCCACCCCCAAGGAGGGCUGAGAUAUCAGUACAGCAGGGCUCCGUGACUUGUAGGAGCUCUCCCAUGAAUAUGCAGGGAUAUUAAGGUGAGUACUUCAGCCUCGACAAGCAUGGUGAAGAGUCAGGUUGGGAGUCAGACAGGAUUCAGAUUGAAAUUCUCAUUUGCCAUGAACUACUUUUGUGGUUUACGCAAGUCCUUUAACUUGCUACACCGAACCUCAGUUUCCUCAGUGGUAAAAUGGCACAGUACCAGCUACUGGGUUGUAAACCGUCUUCAAAAUAGGUUCAUAAUGUUUGCAUUGCACUUCACCCGUGAUAUGCUUUAUACUUUCUGGGCUCAAUUUCUCACCUAACUUCAUCUCCAAAGAUGAGAGAAAGAAUGCUUCUAGGUCCAACGUCCGGUGUUAUUUUUAUUCAGUACUCCAAGCUAUGGCUCAUGUUGGCCAGUUUAUGCGAGCGUUUGUCUGGCGGGUGACUCAUUUAAGCAAGUUCUGUUGGGAGUGACAGUCAACAGGGGGCCCAGCUGUUUAGUUAAACCGCCUGGCUUCUGCCACUUGAAUCACUCUGUGACUGUGAGCAGGUUACUUCAUUGCUCUGUGCCUCAGUUUACUCACUGAUAAAAUGGAGUACAGGGGCACCUGGGGGGCUCAGUCAAUUAAGCGUCCGACUUCAGCUCAGGUCAUGAUCUCAACGGUUCGUGGGUUUGAGCUCCACGUCAGGCUCUGGGCUGACAGCUCAGAGCCUGGAGCCUGCUUCGGAUUCUGUGUCUCCCUCUCUCUCUACCUCUCCCCCGCUCAUACUCUGUCUGUCCGUCUCUGUCUCUGUCUCUCUCUCAAAAAAUAAACAUAAAAAAUUUUUUUUAGUGGAGUACAAACCUCACAGCCAGUUACAGGGAAGUGCUUGGAAUAGCGUCCACAACAUUGUAAGUACUCAGUAAAUACUCGUUCCUACUGUGUAGUCACAAAAAUGGGUUUAUAGAGAGGCUACAAGGUGAUGUAGAACAGUUUUUGUACAUGUUGGGUCAGCCUAGGACUUAUUUAUAGAACUCAGCUUAUACAAAGUAGGGAGAGAGCCCAGAUGUCCAUCAACUGAUGGACAGAUAAAGAAGAUGUGAUAGCCACCUAUAGUGGAAUACUACUUGGCCAUCAAAAAGGACGAAAUCCUGCCAUUUGCAACAACGUGGAUGGAACUAGAAUGUAUUACGCGAAGCAAAAUACGUCAGUCAGAGGAAGACAAAUAUAUGAUUUCACUCACAUGUGGAAUUUAAGAAACAAAACAGAUGAACAUAGGGAAAGGGAAGGAAAAGUAAGAUAAAAACAGGGAGACAAACCAUAAGAGACUCUUACAUACAGAGAGCAAACUGAGGGUUUCUGGUGGGAGGUGGGGGGAUGGGCUAGAAGGGUGACGGGCAUUGAGGAGGGCACUUGUUGGGAUGAGCACUGGGUGCUGUAUGGAAGUGACGGCUCACUAAAUUCUCCUCCUGAAAUCAGUAUUACACUACGUGUUAACUAACUUGGAUUUAAAUUUUAAAAAAAGAACUUCAGCCUAUAAGCAACUUUUCAGAGGUUAUGAUAUGGUGAAAACACAUCAGGCAGGUUGCUAGGAGCUCGCCUGGAGCUCUGCCCCUGCCGUCACAGGCGUGUGGGGUCCUGGACAUCAUUUCAUCUCUUUGAGUCUUACCUUUCAUCUAAAACGAGAGGGCCGAUGACACAUCCUGUAAGAUUUCGGUUUUAAAAAUUCCAGCAUUCUAUCGCUCAAUCUUCUCUGCACAGCGGCAUACAUCUACCUAGAAGAAUUCAUGUUUGCUCUGUUUCACCCAAGCUUUUGGCUCAUUUAGCCUGCCUAUGAAAGCAGAAAGCUUUCGGUACAAUGAGUUUUCUCUAACAUAACGGAAGGAAAAUGCCCAGGAGCUCGUUACUAAGGCAACCAUAUUUCCUUGCAAUGGACACAUGUUUAAAGAACCCUUUCCCCCUAAAGGGACACAAAUUUAGAAUUUGGGUCCACUUGCUUAAAAGUAUAUAUAAAUCCAUUUCGAUUUAUGGACCUGGGCAAAAAAAAAAAAAAUGAGUCAUGCUCACAAUAUUUUUUAACUGCCUUUCUGAAAUCCUGUUUGCUUCAGCUAUUGUUUUCUGUGGUUAAAGAAGAUGUUAAGGUUCACAGAAGUGAGAAGCAUUGGUGUAUAAUUCUGUUCUGUUCUAGGGGAGAGUUGCAAAUGGUUAGUGAGAGAGAGAAGCAGUAAUCUACCUACCCUCCAGAAACCCCAAUAUUUCUAUAUUUACUCCUCUCUCUCUCUCUCUCUCUCUCUCUCUCUCUCUCUCUCACACACACACACACACACACACACAAUGCCUCAGGUUGGCUUUCCGAAUAACCCCAACACCAUCCUGCCUUUUAGAAAAUGGUUACUACCAGGUAGACUUUGUUCUUUCUUGGGGGGAAAUGAUUGAUUUGAUUACCAAAGUAUUGAAAAAUCAGUCAGUGGAAUCAGAUGCUCUUUUCCCGUCAUUAUUUCAAACUUAUCAGAUUAAAAGGCUUUCAUCUGUUUUGUCACUGUGCCUUCUUGACAGGCUGGUGUAUGUUAGUAGAACCUAGCUGGAUGGAUAAUAAUAGUCAUGAUAACUCUAACAAUUAUGGCGGUGGUAAUAGUAAUAACAGAAAAAAAGAAAAAAGCCUCAUGCACAAUGGAGGCCCUUGGCCAGCUUUCAGGAACAGAAUGGAAUUCGCGUGUGGGAGGAAACAGUUCCCCAGGUGGUGGUCAGUGGCUGGUUCAGCAGCCGAAAUUAUUCCUUGGCCCAAGUUAAAGCUGUAGCUGCCGUUUUCCUCAGAACCACAAGUCACUGCCCUGUUUUCAGCCCUGCUCAAUAAUCUGCCGUCAAGUGCAAUGGAUAGAAUAAUAACACACCACGGGGUCUCAGUUACGCGUGCAAAAUAUUUCUCAGGCUCCUUUUUCCCAGGACACUCACAUGCCUCAUAAGAUCUUGCUUCUAGAAAGACCGUAGGGAACGGCAAAGCUUUUGCCAGACCGUCGAAUGUUCUUCGGAGCUGGUACAAGGCAGCAUAGCAUGAGAAAAUUUCCCAUCCUGGAUCACUGUGUCUAAGAAAGCUCUCAACCUUCCCAAAGGAGGGGACCCUUCCCAGGUGCGGAUGAGCUGACAGGAGAGAGCACUCAUUUUUUAAAAAUUUCUUCUAGAGAGCAUGAGCAGGGGAGGGGCAGGGAGGGGCAGAGAGAGAGGAGGACAGAGGAUCCGAAGCAGGCUGUGCAUGGUCAGCACAGAGCCCGAUGCGGGGCUCGAACUCAUGAACCCGGAGAUCACGACCUGAGCCAAAGUCAGUCACUCGACUGACUGAGUCACCCAGGCACCCCGAGCUGUCUGUUGCUCUUAAGCAGACCAGCAGAUAUUUAAGAAGCAAUACCACUCACUUUGAACCAAACCUCUCUCAUUUCCCCACGCCAAGUCAAUUAGCACAUUUUCCCUUUCAAAAGGCAUUGCAGCUUAGAGAGAGCAAGAAAACUGCAAACGAUUUAUCGGAGAAAAAGAAAAGAAGAACUAUAAGUAGAGUGGAGCGGAUGCUGAUUCUCUGUCUUCACUGCUUACGAAGCCAAGGUAGAUACUUUUUAAUAGGUCGACAAUAACAGUCUUUUCUAAUCUGGCAUAUUUGGAAGUUGUUUACUGAAUCACAUGUGCCCUUUCUAAGAUUAAGAGAAAGAAGAAAGGAAGAAGAGAUUCAGUUCCCAAUACGUACAAAAGCAAUGAACCCUAAAAGUUCAGUCUGGUGAAGUCAUGCCCUCUGUGGAAAAAGUCUUAAGAGAUGGAACAUAAAAAUACGAACAUAAAGAUAGAACGUAAAGAUAUGCGUCUCGGCCGGGAGGAGGCGGAGCUUUUUGUCUGCUUAUGCCACAUUUUACGUUGUAUAAAUAUAAUUGCUAAUCAGCUAUGUUGGACCUUCCUCUGAGAGUCCGUACCUGGGGUCCUCACGUGGGAUUAGAAAGCGGCCAGGAAGAGGUUGCCCUAGUUUCCAGAGUCGAAAACAGCCGGUCACUCUUGGCUGUCGUGAUUUGCCAAGUCGGCUUGGGUCAGGUCCCCCUCCUCACGGUCCUGGAUAAAUGCUUCGCUUGGGAAGUCGUUUUUCCUAUGUUGUCACCACCGGCUCCGGAGCCGACACAGACCUCCCCCUGGUAACUCAUGCCUCUGUGACCUAUGUCUUGGAUUAUUGCAAAACAUUCCCUUCCCAUAGAUGUCUAGGAAGCUUUCUUUGGUGCCGAAUGGAUGGUGUCAUUUCAGGGACAAACGAAAAUAGCACCUCGCACGAAAGCUAUGCAGGCUGUUUUAACCACAGGUCCACCCCCCCCCCCACCCUUGAUUUAUGGUCUCGAGUGACCUCAGAGUGACCUAUUUAGAUCAGGCCAAAGCCAAAGGGGCCCAAUGGCACAAAUAAAGCAUUUUAAAUGCUUAUCUAAUAUCUUUAUGAGGCAGCCAGCCAAGUCUUUUUAGGAAUGGUAUAAGAUAUGCUCACGUAUAUCUUUUAUAGGACAUGAGAGCGAAACGUUAUGAGCAUACCCGUUGUCUGUGUAGCCAAAAAAAAAAAAAAAUGCUUUGAAGCAAAGAAA